UCAUGUUUCAUAGCAAGGGAGGAGCACUUGGACAAAGAUUACAGAUCCAAAUGGCAAAACUUCAUCAGAUUUCAAACAAUUCUCCCAUUGAGAGGAAGCGAGAAGUGGUUUUAUGUUGUUUGGUUGAUUAUCUGGGUGAGAAAGUAGAUGACCUCAUUAAAUACUACCAAGAUGCUGAAAGAACCAGUAUAUUGCAGGACCUCACCCAGCAUGUGAUGAAAAUAUAUGUGAUCAAAGAGGGUGAAAGCCCAGAGGACGUCGGC